rnacentral:rRNA from 1 species
CAUUAACUGAAUCCAUAGGUUAAUGAGGCGAACCGGGGGAACUGAAACAUCUAAGUACCCCGAGGAAAAGAAAUCAACCGAGAUUCCCCCAGUAGCGGCGAGCGAACGGGGAGGAGCCCAGAGCCUGAAUCAGUGUGUGUGUUAGUGGAAGCGUCUGGAAAGGCGCGCGAUACAGGGUGACAGCCCCGUACACAAAAAUGCACAUAUUGUGAGCUCGAUGAGUAGGGCGGGACACGUGGUAUCCUGUCUGAAUAUGGGGGGACCAUCCUCCAAGGCUAAAUACUCCUGACUGACCGAUAGUGAACCAGUACCGUGAGGGAAAGGCGAAAAGAACCCCGGCGAGGGGAGUGAAAAAGAACCUGAAACCGUGUACGUACAAGCAGUGGGAGCCUCUUAAUGGGGUGACUGCGUACCUUUUGUAUAAUGGGUCAGCGACUUAUAUUCUGUAGCAAGGUUAACCGAAUAGGGGAGCCGAAGGGAAACCGAGUCUUAACUGGGCGUUAAGUUGCAGGGUAUAGACCCGAAACCCGGUGAUCUAGCCAUGGGCAGGUUGAAGGUUGGGUAACACUAACUGGAGGACCGAACCGACUAAUGUUGAAAAAUUAGCGGAUGACUUGUGGCUGGGGGUGAAAGGCCAAUCAAACCGGGAGAUAGCUGGUUCUCCCCGAAAGCUAUUUAGGUAGCGCCUCGUGAAUUCAUCUCCGGGGGUAGAGCACUGUUUCGGCAAGGGGGUCAUCCCGACUUACCAACCCGAUGCAAACUGCGAAUACCGGAGAAUGUUAUCACGGGAGACACACGGCGGGUGCUAACGUCCGUCGUGAAGAGGGAAACAACCCAGACCGCCAGCUAAGGUCCCAAAGUCAUGGUUAAGUGGGAAACGAUGUGGGAAGGCCCAGACAGCCAGGAUGUUGGCUUAGAAGCAGCCAUCAUUUAAAGAAAGCGUAAUAGCUCACUGGUCGAGUCGGCCUGCGCGGAAGAUGUAACGGGGCUAAACCAUGCACCGAAGCUGCGGCAGCGACACUAUGUGUUGUUGGGUAGGGGAGCGUUCUGUAAGCCUGUGAAGGUGGCCUGUGAGGGUUGCUGGAGGUAUCAGAAGUGCGAAUGCUGACAUAAGUAACGAUAAAGCGGGUGAAAAGCCCGCUCGCCGGAAGACCAAGGGUUCCUGUCCAACGUUAAUCGGGGCAGGGUGAGUCGACCCCUAAGGCGAGGCCGAAAGGCGUAGUCGAUGGGAAACAGGUUAAUAUUCCUGUACUUGGUGUUACUGCGAAGGGGGGACGGAGAAGGCUAUGUUGGCCGGGCGACGGUUGUCCCGGUUUAAGCGUGUAGGCUGGUUUUCCAGGCAAAUCCGGAAAAUCAAGGCUGAGGCGUGAUGACGAGGCACUACGGUGCUGAAGCGACAAAUGCCCUGCUUCCAGGAAAAGCCUCUAAGCAUCAGGUAACAUCAAAUCGUACCCCAAACCGACACAGGUGGUCAGGUAGAGAAUACCAAGGCGCUUGAGAGAACUCGGGUGAAGGAACUAGGCAAAAUGGUGCCGUAACUUCGGGAGAAGGCACGCUGAUAUGUAGGUGAAGCGACUUGCUCGUGGAGCUGAAAUCAGUCGAAGAUACCAGCUGGCUGCAACUGUUUAUUAAAAACACAGCACUGUGCAAACACGAAAGUGGACGUAUACGGUGUGACGCCUGCCCGGUGCCGGAAGGUUAAUUGAUGGGGUUAGCGGUAACGCGAAGCUCUUGAUCGAAGCCCCGGUAAACGGCGGCCGUAACUAUAACGGUCCUAAGGUAGCGAAAUUCCUUGUCGGGUAAGUUCCGACCUGCACGAAUGGCGUAAUGAUGGCCAGGCUGUCUCCACCCGAGACUCAGUGAAAUUGAACUCGCUGUGAAGAUGCAGUGUACCCGCGGCAAGACGGAAAGACCCCGUGAACCUUUACUAUAGCUUGACACUGAACAUUGAGCCUUGAUGUGUAGGAUAGGUGGGAGGCUUUGAAGUGUGGACGCCAGUCUGCAUGGAGCCGACCUUGAAAUACCACCCUUUAAUGUUUGAUGUUCUAACGUGGGCCCCUUACCGGGGUUGCGGACAGUGUCUGGUGGGUAGUUUGACUGGGGCGGUCUCCUCCUAAAGAGUAACGGAGGAGCACGAAGGUUGGCUAAUCCUGGUCGGACAUCAGGAGGUUAGUGCAAUGGCAUAAGCCAGCUUGACUGCGAGCGUGACGGCGCGAGCAGGUGCGAAAGCAGGUCAUAGUGAUCCGGUGGUUCUGAAUGGAAGGGCCAUCGCUCAACGGAUAAAAGGUACUCCGGGGAUAACAGGCUGAUACCGCCCAAGAGUUCAUAUCGACGGCGGUGUUUGGCACCUCGAUGUCGGCUCAUCACAUCCUGGGGCUGAAGUAGGUCCCAAGGGUAUGGCUGUUCGCCAUUUAAAGUGGUACGCGAGCUGGGUUUAGAACGUCGUGAGACAGUUCGGUCCCUAUCUGCCGUGGGCGCUGGAGAACUGAGGGGGGCUGCUCCUAGUACGAGAGGACCGGAGUGGACGCAUCACUGGUGUUCGGGUUGUCAUGCCAAUGGCACUGCCCGGUAGCUAAAUGCGGAAGAGAUAAGUGCUGAAAGCAUCUAAGCACGAAACUUGCCCCGAGAUGAGUUCUCCCUGACUCCUUGAGAGUCCUGAAGGAACGUUGAAGACGACGACGUUGAUAGGCCGGGUGUGUAAGCGCAGCGAUGCGUUGAGCUAACCGGUACUAAUGAACCGUGAGGCUUAACCUU